GACGAACGCUGGCGGCGUGCUUAACACAUGCAAGUCGAGCGGUAAGGCCCUUUCGGGGGUACACGGGCGGCGAACGGGUGAGUAACACGUGGGUGACCUGCCCUCAGCUCUGGGAUAAGCCUGGGAAACCGGGUCUAAUACUGGAUAUGACUCCAUGACGCAUGUUGUGGGGUGGAAAGCCUUGUGCGGCUGAGGAUGGGCCCGCGGCCUAUCAGCUUGUUGGUGGGGUGAUGGCCUACCAAGGCGACGACGGGUAGCCGGCCUGAGAGGGCGACCGGCCACACUGGGACUGAGACACGGCCCAGACUCCUACGGGAGGCAGCAGUGGGGAAUCUUGCGCAAUGGGCGAAAGCCUGACGCAGCGACGCCGCGUGAGGGAUGACGGCCUCGGU
rnacentral:rRNA from 1 species